GGCUUGUUGGUCUAGGAGUAUGAUUCUUGCUUAGGAUGCAAGAGAUCCCAGAUUCAAAUCCUGGACAAGCCC